rnacentral:rRNA from 1 species
UUACCGGCUUAAAUGGCGAAAUUUCGCCAAGGUGCUGCAUGGUUGUCGUCAACUCGUGCCGUGAGGUGUCGGGUUAAGUCCCAUAACGAGCGCAACCCUAUCUUAGUUGCCAGCGGCCGGGACUCUAAGAAACUGCCAGCGUAACUGGAGGAAGGUGGGGAUGACGUCAAAUCAUCACGGCCCUUACGCCGGGCUACACACGUGCUACAAUGGGAGACAUGAGGCAUCGUGAGGUGAGCAAUCUAAAAUCGUCUCAGUUCGGAUCGAAGUCUGCAACUCGACUUCGUGAAGCUGGAAUCGCUAGUAAUCGCGAUCAGCAUGCGCGGUGAAUACGUUCCCGGGNCCUGUACACACCGCCCGUCNAGCCAUGGAAGCUGGGGGCNGAA